rnacentral:tRNA from 1 species
CAAGAAAAGGUCAGGAUAGCUCAGUUGGUAGAGCAGAGGACUGAAAAAUCCNUCGUG